rnacentral:lncRNA from 1 species
GCAUUUGUCCGCUUCCUUUUGAUAUUGUGAUGCUAACUUCUUAUCCUCGAGUAAAAAAAAACAUUUAUGUAAAAAACUAUAACAAUUAAGCAUUAGUGACAUACAACUAAUGAUUAAAAUGAAAUAAAACAUAUAUGUAACAAAUAAAUUGUUGGUCAGAAAAAGUUGUAAAAAAUGAAAAAAGAAAUGCAGUCAACUGGCUCACUGUAAACUUAACUGCAGACUUUGAAUAUGCCAUAAAACAUAAAUAAAACCCAAAAUCACCAAUAUCACCCUAAAAUGAAAUCAUUUGCUAGAUGAAGGCAGUGGUUUUUGUUAAUGCAAUACAAAGGGUUAUUACAUUUAAUGUUACAUUCACAUCCAAAUUACUCUCGGAUAAAAAAUACCACAACAUUAACUAUCAAGCAAUUCCAACCAAAUCAGUUCAUCAUGCAUACCAAAGCCAGAGUUACUACUUUAUCUUAUGUAAGUGUUAUUUCACAAUAUCAGUCAUUUGCAAUCAAUCUUAAAAACAUGGCUCGGUUAUGCAAUUGUUAGACAGCAUCCUGGUAAAAAAAACAUUGUUACAUUAGCAAUCAAUCAUUAUUGGAGACAAAACAAAAGUGAAAAUCAUGUGAUUAGCAAUCAAACUUUGUUACAUCAGCAAUCAAUCAUUAUUGACGAGGGGUGGCUUAGGGAAAUCAUGUGAUUAGAGAGUAUAACAGCAAAAAAACAAAAGGAUAAGAAAAACUAUGGAAUAUACUUGUCUCAUAUAGCAUCAUAUAAGGCAUAACAUCUGUUAAAAUAAAGUUGACACCUAAAUGAAAGCGAUAGCAGCAACAAUGGUGAAAAAACCCAGCAGAGAGGGCUGCUGUCAUGCUAAAAUUAGAGGUGAUCUAAAAGGCAUAGAAAAUCAAAUGUAAAAUUUCUUUGUAUUAAGUUACUUAGUCCCAUAUUCCAAUAAAUACAUCCAUCCAUGACAAAGAAAC